UCGUUAUUUGCUUUUUUUUUCUUCUUCAUUCAUUUGAUAGAAAAAAAACAAAAACAAAAAAAAACCACAUGCGAACAAAAAAAAACAAUAUUUUUCAAACUCCUGAAAAAAACAAAAACAAAACGAAAAACACAAAAAAAAACAAACAAGAAA
rnacentral:misc_RNA from 1 species